AUUGAACGCUGGCGGCAUGCCUUACACAUGCAAGUCGAACGGCAGCACGGGAGCAAUCCUGGUGGCGAGUGGCGAACGGGUGAGUAAUAUAUCGGAACGUGCCCAGUCGUGGGGGAUAACGUAGCGAAAGCUACGCUAAUACCGCAUACGAUCUAUGGAUGAAAGCGGGGAUCGCAAGACCUCGCGCGAAUUGGAGCGGCCGAUAUCAGAUUAGGUAGUUGGUGGGUAAAAGCCUACCAAGCCUUCGAUCUGUAGCUGGUCUGAGAGGACGACCAGCCACACUGGAACUGAGACACGGUCCAGACUCCUACGGGAGGC
rnacentral:rRNA from 1 species